GAUCCUGGAUCAUGGAGCCAUGAAGAUGUUGAUAGUUGGAUAUCAGGAACAGAUGAUGUCAAUCACUAAUGGAUCACAGUUGACCAGGGGAAACUAAAAUCAUGGGAAACAAAACCAUGGAUAAGGCAGUACUACUGUAUACAGUUGGCCCUCCAUAGCCAUGCACUCUGCAUCAGUGGAUUCAAUCAGCCAUGGAUAAAAAAAUGUUUGAAAAGUUUAAAAGAAUGGUUGUUUCUGUACUGAACAGGUUAGGUGUUCAAGCUGUGUUAAAUCACAUCCCUGAUGUUUAUGUGGUCAGGAUAUGUGCCCUUGAGUGACCAAGCAGAAGUGAGUGGAACUUUCUACCAUGCUUUGUAUGCUAAGACUUCCAUCAACGAGUGAUUUUCUUGCUUUAAAUUUAAUGCUGACUCCAUUCAAGCAGAAAAUAGAUUUGAAGACAAUGAAAAAUGUGCCACUUUAUUUCCCUAAGGCCUUCUCUGCACAGUAGGCCUUGAACAAAAGUAAUUUCAUAAGGAGAGACAAACAACUAAGUGAAUCUUCAAAUACAAAAAUUUAUUGUUUUUUUUUGCUAAAUUAUUUUACUAAGUAUUGAUUUUCUGAUUCUUAUUAUCCAUCUUCAGAUCACAAGGCUUAGUGUAGAAUUUGCUUACACUGUGAUAACAAAAUUCAUAAUCAAAUGGGAAGAGGAAAUAAUCCUACCGUGGUGCAUGCCAUUUUUCUAUCCAAGGGAACCUCGUAAGUUGCUGAUAAGAAUAAAUUGCAGUGAAUGAGAAAAUCAUGAAAAGUCA
rnacentral:lncRNA from 1 species